rnacentral:rRNA from 1 species
UUGAACGCUGGCGGCAGGCCUAACACAUGCCAGUCGAGCGGAUGAAGGGAGCUUGCUCCUGGAUUCAGCGGCGGACGGGUGAGUAAUGCCUAGGAAUCUGCCUGGUAGUGGGGGAUAACGUCCGGAAACGGGCGCUAAUACCGCAUACGUCCUGAGGGAGAAAGUGGGGGAUCUUCGGACCUCACGCUAUCAGAUGAGCCUAGGUCGGAUUAGCUAGUUGGUGGGGUAAAGGCCUACCAAGGCGACGAUCCGUAACUGGUCUGAGAGGAUGAUCAGUCACACUGGAACUGAGACACGGUCCAGACUCCUACGGGAGGCAGCAGUGGGGAAUAUUGGACAAUGGGCGAAAGCCUGAUCCAGCCAUGCCGCGUGUGUGAAGAAGGUCUUCGGGUUGUAAAGCACUUUAAGUUGGGAGGAAGGGCAGUAAGUUAAUACCUUGCUGUUUUGACGUUACCAACAGAAUAAGCACCGGCUAACUUCGUG